rnacentral:lncRNA from 1 species
UAGCGAUAAGUUUUGGAAAUCGUUUACGGAGGACUUUUAGGUUAUAGAUUUUCUGUUUGCACAAGUUUGGUCCGUAAUCGAGAUGCGACUCGUCUGUGAGGCGAGGACUUUUAGAACCAUGAGGAAAAUAUCUUUUGUUGACAAGUCAAACUUGAUCCAUUGGCUAGGAAUUAACAAGGCUUUAGUUGCANNNNUAAGGAGGUUUAGGCACUUAAAGGACUUAGAAAAAUCAGAUUUUCACUCCUCUUUUCCUCUUCAAAACCGUGAACCAUUCCCCUUCAUACUAUUCAUCACAAAAUUCUCAUUUCUUGACCAAAUCAUCUUAUCCAAAGCUAGUUGAAUCCUUGGAACUUGCAAGAGUAACAUCACUAAGGUAACUUGAUCCUUUCUUUCCUCUAUAGCUGGCCAAACCCUUAGGGUUUGAUGAUUUAUGUUUAUGUUCUUGAGAAAAAUAAUUUGAGAAUUUGUUAGAAAAUGAAUUGUGAUCCAUAGGAUGUGUUCAUGAGUGUUUAACUAAGAUUGUUUAGGUUUAGUUUGUUGGAUUCCAUGAGUUUGAUGAGAAGCUCAUGAAGAAAUGGGA